AUUGAACGCUGGCGGCAGGCUUAACACAUGCAAGUCGAGCGGGGAAUGGUAGCUUGCUACCUGACCUAGCGGCGGACGGGUGAGUAAUGCUUAGGAAUCUGCCUAUUAGUGGGGGACAACAUUCCGAAAGGAAUGCUAAUACCGCAUACGCCCUACGGGGGAAAGCAGGGGAUCUUCGGACCUUGCGCUAAUAGAUGAGCCUAAGUCAGAUUAGCUAGUUGGUGGGGUAAAGGCCUACCAAGGCGACGAUCUGUAGCGGGUCUGAGAGGAUGAUCCGCCACACUGGGACUGAGACACGGCCCAGACUCCUACGGGAGGCAGCAGUGGGGAAUAUUGGACAAUGGGCGAAAGCCUGAUCCAGCCAUGCCGCGUGUGUGAAGAAGGCCUUUUGGUUGUAAAGCACUUUAAGCGAGGAGGAGGCUACUUGGAUUAAUACUCUAGGAUAGUGGACGUUGCUCGCACAAUAAGCACCGGCUAACUCUGUGCCAGCAGCCGCGGUAAUACAGAGGGUGCGAGCGUUAAUCGGAUUUACUGGGCGUAAAGCGUGCGUACGCGGCUUUUUAGUCGGAUGUGAAAUCCCUGAGCUUAACUUAAGAAUUGCAUUCGAUACUGGGAAGCUAGAGUAUGGGAGAGGAUGGUAGAAUUCCAGGUGUAGCGGUGAAAUGCGUAGAGAUCUGGAGGAAUACCGAUGGCGAAGGCAGCCAUCUGGCCUAAUACUGACGCUGAGGUACGAAAGCAUGGGGAGCAAACAGGAUUAGAUACCCUGGUAGUCCAUGCCGUAAACGAUGUCUACUAGCCGUUGGGGCCUUUGAGGCUUUAGUGGCGCAGCUAACGCGAUAAGUAGACCGCCUGGGGAGUACGGUCGCAAGACUAAAACUCAAAUGAAUUGACGGGGGCCCGCACAAGCGGUGGAGCAUGUGGUUUAAUUCGAUGCAACGCGAAGAACCUUACCUGGUCUUGACAUAGUAAGAACUUUCCAGAGAUGGAUUGGUGCCUUCGGGAACUUACAUACAGGUGCUGCAUGGCUGUCGUCAGCUCGUGUCGUGAGACGUUGGGUUAAGUCCCGCAACGAGCGCAACCCUUUUCCUUAUUUGCCAGCGGGUUAAGCCGGGAACUUUAAGGAUACUGCCAGUGACAAACUGGAGGAAGGCGGGGACGACGUCAAGUCAUCAUGGCCCUUACGACCAGGGCUACACACGUGCUACAAUGGUCGGUACAAAGGGUUGCUACCUAGCGAUAGGAUGCUAAUCUCAAAAAGCCGAUCGUAGUCCCGAUUGGAGUCUGCCACUCGACUCCAUGAAGUCCGAAUCGCUAGUAAUCCCGGAUCAGAAUGCCGCGGUGAAUACGUUCCCGGGCCCU
rnacentral:rRNA from 1 species